rnacentral:rRNA from 1 species
GACGAACGCUGGCGGCGUGCUUAACACAUGCAAGUCGAACGAAGAGCGACGGAAGCUUGCUUCUAUCAAUCUUAGUGGCGAACGGGUGAGUAACGCGUAAUCAACCUGCCCUCAGAGGGGGACAACAGUUGGAAACGACUGCUAAUACCGCAUACGAUCUAACCUCGGCAUCGAGGAUAGAUGAAAGGUGGCCUCUACAUGUAAGCUAUCACUGAAGGAGGGGAUUGCGUCUGAUUAGCUAGUUGGAGGGGUAACGGCCCACCAAGGCGAUGAUCAGUAGCCGGUCUGAGAGGAUGAACGGCCACAUUGGGACUGAGACACGGCCCAGACUCCUACGGGAGGCAGCAGUGGGGAAUCUUCCGCAAUGGACGAAAGUCUGACGGAGCAACGCCGCGUGAGUGAUGACGGCCUUCGGGUUGUAAAGCUCUGUUAAUCGGGACGAAAGGCCUUCUUGCGAAUAGUGAGAAGGAUUGACGGUACCGGAAUAGAAAGCCACGGCUAACUAUGUG